GACUUGACUUGACAGAUCGCCCACAAAUCGUUUCCCCGGCGACUUCCAGCGAUGACGGCAAAGAGGCUGUAUUGCUUCGCAUGGGCGACGCCGGGCACACGUCAGCGAUUCGUUGGAAUCGUCUCGUAAUGACGACGGCGAAAACGAUGAAUUGGAGAGCGAUUUGGAUCCCGAUAUGUCGGACGAAUACGUGCCUUCGGACAUAACGGAAAGCAGCUGAGAGUCCUCGCCAGAGCCGCUGAAACGAGGAGAUUGUCCAACCAGAAGCCAAAAGAUGACGACUCCUCGCUUUGGUGGUGGAAAGAAAGGUCGUGCAUCUGGACGUGGUGGGAAGAAUCGAUGUGGUGAUAAACUGGAUGGAAGCCAAAAACCAUCUUCUCCACAGCUGCACUUUAGUUCAUAGUUCAAUAGUUUUGUUGUGUGCAAAUAAAUUAUUUUGCUACAAAAAACAUUAUUUGUAA